GCCAGUGUAGUGUUGUGGUUUGUGUGUUAGACUGUGACCCUAGAGACCAGGGUUCAAUUCCCAGUUCAUCCA